rnacentral:rRNA from 1 species
CAGCCGCCGCGGUAAUACGGAGGGUGCAAGCGUUAUCCGGAUUUAUUGGGUUUAAAGGGUCCGUAGGCGGAUCUGUAAGUCAGUGGUGAAAUCUCACAGCUUAACUGUGAAACUGCCAUUGAUACUGCAGGUCUUGAGUAAAUUUGAAGUGGCUGGAAUAAGUAGUGUAGCGGUGAAAUGCAUAGAUAUUACUUAGAACACCAAUUGCGAAGGCAGGUCACUAAGAUUUAACUGACGCUGAUGGACGAAAGCGUGGGGAGCGAACAGGAUUAGAUACCCGCGUAGUCCCUGUCUCUUAUAC